rnacentral:rRNA from 1 species
UACAGAGGUCUCAAGCGUUGUUCGGAUUCAUUGGGCGUAAAGGGUGCGUAGGCGGCGCGGUAAGUCGGGUGUGAAAUCUCGGAGCUUAACUCCGAAACUGCAUUCGAUACUGCCGUGCUUGAGGACUGGAGAGGAGACUGGAAUUUACGGGUGUAGCGGUGAAAUGCGUAGAUAUCGUAAGGAAGACCAGUGGCGAAGGCGGGUCUCGUGGACAGUUCCUGACGUGAGGCACGAAGGUCAGGGGAGCAAACGGG